rnacentral:rRNA from 1 species
GGUUAAGCGACUAAGCGUACACGGUGGAUGCCCUGGCAGUCAGAGGCGAUGAAGGACGUGCUAAUCUGCGAUAAGCGUCGGUAAGGUGAUAUGAACCGUUAUAACCGGCGAUUUCCGAAUGGGGAAACCCAGUGUGUUUCGACACACUAUCAUUAACUGAAUCCAUAGGUUAAUGAGGCGAACCGGGGGAACUGAAACAUCUAAGUACCCCGAGGAAAAGAAAUCAACCGAGAUUCCCCCAGUAGCGGCGAGCGAACGGGGAGCAGCCCAGAGCCUGAAUCAGUGUGUGUGUUAGUGGAAGCGUCUGGAAAGGCGCGCGAUACAGGGUGACAGCCCCGUACACAAAAAUGCACAUACUGUGAGCUCGAUGAGUAGGGCGGGACACGUGGUAUCCUGUCUGAAUAUGGGGGGACCAUCCUCCAAGGCUAAAUACUCCUGACUGACCGAUAGUGAACCAGUACCGUGAGGGAAAGGCGAAAAGAACCCCGGCGAGGGGAGUGAAAAAGAACCUGAAACCGUGUACGUACAAGCAGUGGGAGCACGCUUAGGCGUGUGACUGCGUACCUUUUGUAUAAUGGGUCAGCGACUUAUAUUCUGUAGCAAGGUUAACCGAAUAGGGGAGCCGAAGGGAAACCGAGUCUUAACUGGGCGUUAAGUUGCAGGGUAUAGACCCGAAACCCGGUGAUCUAGCCAUGGGCAGGUUGAAGGUUGGGUAACACUAACUGGAGGACCGAACCGACUAAUGUUGAAAAAUUAGCGGAUGACUUGUGGCUGGGGGUGAAAGGCCAAUCAAACCGGGAGAUAGCUGGUUCUCCCCGAAAGCUAUUUAGGUAGCGCCUCGUGAAUUCAUCUCCGGGGGUAGAGCACUGUUUCGGCAAGGGGGUCAUCCCGACUUACCAACCCGAUGCAAACUGCGAAUACCGGAGAAUGUUAUCACGGGAGACACACGGCGGGUGCUAACGUCCGUCGUGAAGAGGGAAACAACCCAGACCGCCAGCUAAGGUCCCAAAGUCAUGGUUAAGUGGGAAACGAUGUGGGAAGGCCCAGACAGCCAGGAUGUUGGCUUAGAAGCAGCCAUCAUUUAAAGAAAGCGUAAUAGCUCACUGGUCGAGUCGGCCUGCGCGGAAGAUGUAACGGGGCUAAACCAUGCACCGAAGCUGCGGCAGCGACGCUUAUGCGUUGUUGGGUAGGGGAGCGUUCUGUAAGCCUGCGAAGGUGUGCUGUGAGGCAUGCUGGAGGUAUCAGAAGUGCGAAUGCUGACAUAAGUAACGAUAAAGCGGGUGAAAAGCCCGCUCGCCGGAAGACCAAGGGUUCCUGUCCAACGUUAAUCGGGGCAGGGUGAGUCGACCCCUAAGGCGAGGCCGAAAGGCGUAGUCGAUGGGAAACAGGUUAAUAUUCCUGUACUUGGUGUUACUGCGAAGGGGGGACGGAGAAGGCUAUGUUGGCCGGGCGACGGUUGUCCCGGUUUAAGCGUGUAGGCUGGUUUUCCAGGCAAAUCCGGAAAAUCAAGGCUGAGGCGUGAUGACGAGGCACUACGGUGCUGAAGCAACAAAUGCCCUGCUUCCAGGAAAAGCCUCUAAGCAUCAGGUAACAUCAAAUCGUACCCCAAACCGACACAGGUGGUCAGGUAGAGAAUACCAAGGCGCUUGAGAGAACUCGGGUGAAGGAACUAGGCAAAAUGGUGCCGUAACUUCGGGAGAAGGCACGCUGAUAUGUAGGUGAAGUCCCUCGCGGAUGGAGCUGAAAUCAGUCGAAGAUACCAGCUGGCUGCAACUGUUUAUUAAAAACACAGCACUGUGCAAACACGAAAGUGGACGUAUACGGUGUGACGCCUGCCCGGUGCCGGAAGGUUAAUUGAUGGGGUCAGCGCAAGCGAAGCUCUUGAUCGAAGCCCCGGUAAACGGCGGCCGUAACUAUAACGGUCCUAAGGUAGCGAAAUUCCUUGUCGGGUAAGUUCCGACCUGCACGAAUGGCGUAAUGAUGGCCAGGCUGUCUCCACCCGAGACUCAGUGAAAUUGAACUCGCUGUGAAGAUGCAGUGUACCCGCGGCAAGACGGAAAGACCCCGUGAACCUUUACUAUAGCUUGACACUGAACAUUGAGCCUUGAUGUGUAGGAUAGGUGGGAGGCUUUGAAGUGUGGACGCCAGUCUGCAUGGAGCCGACCUUGAAAUACCACCCUUUAAUGUUUGAUGUUCUAACGUUGACCCGUAAUCCGGGUUGCGGACAGUGUCUGGUGGGUAGUUUGACUGGGGCGGUCUCCUCCUAAAGAGUAACGGAGGAGCACGAAGGUUGGCUAAUCCUGGUCGGACAUCAGGAGGUUAGUGCAAUGGCAUAAGCCAGCUUGACUGCGAGCGUGACGGCGCGAGCAGGUGCGAAAGCAGGUCAUAGUGAUCCGGUGGUUCUGAAUGGAAGGGCCAUCGCUCAACGGAUAAAAGGUACUCCGGGGAUAACAGGCUGAUACCGCCCAAGAGUUCAUAUCGACGGCGGUGUUUGGCACCUCGAUGUCGGCUCAUCACAUCCUGGGGCUGAAGUAGGUCCCAAGGGUAUGGCUGUUCGCCAUUUAAAGUGGUACGCGAGCUGGGUUUAGAACGUCGUGAGACAGUUCGGUCCCUAUCUGCCGUGGGCGCUGGAGAACUGAGGGGGGCUGCUCCUAGUACGAGAGGACCGGAGUGGACGCAUCACUGGUGUUCGGGUUGUCAUGCCAAUGGCACUGCCCGGUAGCUAAAUGCGGAAGAGAUAAGUGCUGAAAGCAUCUAAGCACGAAACUUGCCCCGAGAUGAGUUCUCCCUGACUCCUUGAGAGUCCUGAAGGAACGUUGAAGACGACGACGUUGAUAGGCCGGGUGUGUAAGCGCAGCGAUGCGUUGAGCUAACCGGUACUAAUGAACCGUGAGGCUUAACCUU